rnacentral:rRNA from 1 species
AGUGAUCGCUGGCGGUAGGCCUAGCACAUGCAAGUCGAACGGCAGCACAGGAGAGCUUGCUCUCUGGGUGGCGAGUGGCGGACGGGUGAGGAAUACAUCGGAAUCUACUCUGUCGUGGGGGAUAACGUAGGGAAACUUACGCUAAUACCGCAUACGACCUACGGGUGAAAGCAGGGGACCUUCGGGCCUUGCGCGAUUGAAUGAGCCGAUGUCGGAUUAGCUAGUUGGCGGGGUAAAGGCCCACCAAGGCGACGAUCCGUAGCUGGUCUGAGAGGAUGAUCAGCCACACUGGGACUGAGACACGGUCCAGACUCCUACGGGAGGCAGCAGUGGGGAAUAUUGGACAAUGGGCGCAAGCCUGAUCCAGCCAUACCGCGUGGGUGAAGAAGGCCUUCGGGUUGUAAAGCCCUUUUGUUGGGAAAGAAAUCCAGCUGGCUAAUACCCGGUUGGGAUGACGGUACCCAAAGAAUAAGCACCGGCUAACUUCGUGCCAGCCGCCGCCGUAA